rnacentral:rRNA from 1 species
CCUACGGGUGGCAGCAGUGAGGAAUAUUGGUCAAUGGCCGUAAGGCUGAACCAGCCAAGUAGCGUGAGGGAAGACUGCCCUAUGGGUUGUAAACCUCUUUUAUGCGGGGAUAAAGGUGUCCACGUGUGGAUGUUUGCAGGUACCUCAUGAAUAAGGACCGGCUAAUUCCGUGCCAGCAGCCGCGGUAAUACGGAGGGUCCGGGCGUUAUCCGGAUUUAUUGGGUUUAAAGGGAGCGUAGGCCGGUCUUUAAGCGUGUCGUGAAAUUUUGCGGCUCAACCGUGAAAGUGCGGCGGGGACUGGAAGCCUUGAGUGCGCGGAAGGCAGGCGGAAUUCGUGGUGUAGCGGUGAAAUGCUUAGAUAUCACGAAGAACCCCGAUUGCGAAGGCAGCCUGCCGAAGCGUUACUGACGCUGAAGCUCGAAAGCGCGGGUAUCGAACAGGAUUAGAUACCCGUGUAGUC